CCUUGUAUUUUUUUGUAGAUCUGUAACUCAUUUAUCAUUUUUGUUAUUUUCACUAUUUUGAUAUACGAUGAUAUUGGAGCUCCACAUAUUUUGUAUAACUACUUUUAUUACUAUUUUUAGUAUAACUAUGUAUGUUAUUUUCUCUAAUAUAAAAUAUAUUUUAAUAUUUGAAAAUUAUUUGAAAAUUUUGCUAAAUUACUCCGGUGAGCUUAUGUAGCGUCUUAGUAUUAGUGUACUUCGUAUUCGAGAUUAAGGUGUUACAACUCGUGUCUAGCCAUAUGAGCACUCAAAGUAGAGACACAUAGCUAUGUUUCAACCUAUGUAACCCACUAACUUGAGUCAUACAGUCAAGUCACACGCUCAUGUGCUAGGCCAUAUAACUCUCAAAAUGACUUCGCAUGCCCGUGUACUAGCCGUUUAUCUCACACGGUCAAGUUACACACCUGUGUGUCUGGCCACAUGGACCUAAAAUGUGCUUUAAACCACAAGUUUAUCAUUUCCUACUUUUUUGGGCAUUAAACAACUCAAAAAUCAUUCGUAUCCCCAUACAUACUCAAAACACGAUCAAACAUACUCAAAACAUGCCAAAAUAAUCAUCCUAAGUGCCUAACAAAUGUAUCCCCAUUGGUACCACAAUUAUAUCAUCAAAAUAUAUCAUCAAUGCAUCAAUCAAAUCAAAAUUUUAAACAUGCCAAAUUUCAUCAAUUUGGUCUAACUCAUAUCUACCUAAAACAUCAACUUAUAUUCACAUACAUAUAACAAACAUUUGUUCAAAACAACAUGCCAAAUUAUGGCUUCAAAUACAAACAUAUAUUUAUAUACUCAAACCAAUAUUACACUUAUAAUUUCAUUUACAAUCCAUCCACAAAAUAACUUUCAACUUGACAUCUUAGGUACAUGUCAACACAAAAGGUAAACAUCACCAUAUUUGAGAUUGGAAUCGUUGCUGGAUGCUGAAUCGACUAUCAGAAGAAAAAUAUCUAAUUUGUGCACGGAAAACAAAACCGUACGCUAAGUAAAACUCAAUAAUAUUUCUAUAAUUUGAACAUUUAAAGAUAAGAGAAUACAAAAUGCACAAUUGAAUUAUAAACAAGUAUUAAUGUCUAAUAUCACAACUAACAUAUGCCACCCUUUUGAAUUCAUACAUAAUAGCAUAUCAUUUCUUACUAUAUUCAAUUUAUACAUGUUAUCAUAUUCAAUUUAUUUAACAAAUAUCCCAAUUCACACACUUACUAUAUAAAUAACUUUUCACACAUCAAGCCACAAUUUUUUAUACCAUGGCAUUAUCCAUUCAACAUUCAAUUCAUGAGUAUAUAACUUUCUUAUUUAAUCACAACAUACUUUUUUUUUCAUACUUCAAAUCACUAUCUCAUUUUUAAUUCAUAUACAAUAUAAUUCAAUAUCUAUUACAAAACUUUAUUAUUUAAUUACCCUUAUUAACACGGCUCGAACUCAGACGGAUACACGAAUCUAACCAACAUACCAGUAUAGCACCCAGUGCCUCAUCGGAUAAAUCCAAAAUAAUAACUAUGCCCAAUGCUAUAUAAUUUGACAUCCAAUGUCUCAUCGAUUUAAUCGAAGCCAAUUGGCACUCAGUGCCUAAUCGACUCGAAGUCGAAGAAAUCCCUAAACUUUUCCUAUUCGAUGACAUACCAUCUAUAUCUGACUCAGCCAGAUACAAUUAAUAGGAUUUAAUUUUACAUUUCAAAUACAACCAAUAUCCAAUUCUCACAUUUACACAUAUAUUCAUUUCAAUUCAAAUAAUCAAUAUAUUCAUAAUGUAUAUACCAAUUCAAUCCAUUUCAAUCAAUUAUCAAAAUGCGCAUUGAAUCGAAUUAAAACAAUUAACAACUAAGUUCGGAUUUAUAGAAAUACAAAUCGUAGAUUCUGAGCUCUUCGACGUCGAUUUUAUCCUUUCCCUUUUUAAUCGAAGAUUUCAGUACAAUAUUAGUUACAGAAUUAAAAUACAUUAAUUCAACACAAUUCAAUUUCACAUUAACUAUUUAAAAUUUUACUCAAUAUUUACUUAAAUUUUAAUUUAAUUCCUAAAUCGAGACUAAUUUUUAUUCUUCAUAUUUAAUCCUAUAUUUUUAUAAUAAUUUCACUUUAAGCUAAAUUUAACUUCCUAUUUUCAAUUAAAUCUCUAAAUUUUAUUUUUUUCACAAUUUAAUCCCUAUUAUACAAAAUUUACAAUUUAUUCUAUAACUUAAUCCUUUCUUAUUUCUAGCUUAUAAAUUUAUAAAUUUAAUCCUUAAUACUAAAAUUAUCCAACAUUAACAUUUAAAAUCUUAAUAAUUACUAAAAUUUCAACAUGAGUAAGAUAAUAUUAAGCACCAAAAUUCCAAAAAUAUAAAAAUUACAAAAAAAAAUUAAAUUUACUAACCAAUUUAAAUUUAAACCAUAAAAACCCUUAGAUACCAUGCGUCAUUCCUUCUUUUCUUCUUUCUUUUAUUUUGCAUGUCUUUCUCUUCCUUUUUCCACUUACUUUCUUUUAAUCUCUUUUAUUAUUACAUAUAUUAUGUUUUUUUCAUAUAUUAUAUAUUAUAUAAUAUAUGUUUCCAUACUUUUAAAUUUACUAACUAUUAUAAUAUAAAUAUCAUAUUAUUAAUUGUUUUAACUUAUUUACCGUCCACUUAAAAGAAACAAAGAUAAAAUUACUUUUUAAGUCCCUUUAAUUAUUUUUAAAUUAUAAUUUAACUUCUACCCGGAACGUAAUUAGUAAUUAUUUAUUAAAAAUAUUUAUUAAAAAUAUUUAUGAAUCCGAAUUACGGAGUUCUAAAAAUGUACUUUUCGACACUCCUUACUAUAGGGUCAGUUACAGGCGCGACCUGUGACUAUAGGCUGGUCUGUUGUGCUCUAUGGAUAACCUGGAGUGAACGAAACAAAGCUCUUCAUGAAGGAAUCAAAAACACGGGAAAAUGGGCAGUAACAUUGACUAAGAAUUAUCUUCUAGAGUUAGAUGGAUUAGCAGGAAAGGAAAUUACCAGAAGAAAUAUCUUGUCAACAUGGACUCCCCCUAAAGAUCCUUUCAUCCGUAUUAACUUUGACGCUGCUUUUGACCAAAAGGAGUUUAGAUCAAGUUCAGGUGUUAUUGUUAGAAAUGGAAGGGAGGAAGCUCUGCUUACCAAGUCAUCAUUGCAUGAAGGCGUUGAGUCCCCUUUUGCGGCGGAGGCUUUAGCAUGUGCGGAAGCAAUAGCAGUGGGUCGACGUUUGGAAAUCGACACGGUCGAGAUCGAAGGAGAUUCAUUAGUGGUCAUUAAAAAAUGUCAAUCUAAAGAAAAUGACAGAUCUGAAAUUGGCAGUAUUAUUAGAAAUAUCCAUCAACAUGAACGCUACUUCAAAGAAAUUUAUUUCAGGCACAUUUCCAGAACAGAUAAUCAGUCGGCUCAUGUGAUAGCAUCGGAAUCGUUAAAACGGAGGUUGGAGAUUUUACUGGUAAGAGCAAUACCGGAGUUUGCUAGAAGAUCUUUCGGACUAGGUACGCAUCGAGCAAGAGAACUAGAUUGAGUGAUGGUCAUCGAUGAUUGAAUCGGUUAGGAGUGCAGAAAUGGUGAACUCUCAUCAGGAGAUCUGCGCUUGGAAAAUGAAUCGAUAGAGGAACUGAAAAGAUAAUUCUAGAACACAGAGAAGUUGUGGAGUCAUUUCUUGUCCAGGCUGGUUUCGUUUUAUUUUGCUUUUAGUUUCCUUUUUCUGUUUCUUUUGUUUUUUCGGAUUGGGCUUCAUUGUUUGCUGGGUUGCCUUGAUGGGUCAGACUUAUUUUUUUGAUUUGUUUCUUUUAUUAAUCCAGCCCAGUUAUUUAUAAAAAAAAUUGUAUACUCC
rnacentral:lncRNA from 1 species